rnacentral:rRNA from 1 species
CCUACGGGUGGCAGCAGUGAGGGAUAUUGGUAAAUGGACGAGAGUCUGAACCAGCCAAGUAGCGUGAAGGAUGACUGCCCUAUGGGUUGUAAACUUCUUUUAUAUGGGAAUAAAAUGUUCCACGUGUGGGAUUUUGUAUGUACCAUAUGAAUAAGGAUCGGCUAACUCCGUGCCAGCAGCCGCGGUAAUACGGAGGAUCCGAGCGUUAUCCGGAUUUAUUGGGUUUAAAGGGAGCGUAGGUGGAUUGUUAAGUCAGUUGUGAAAGUUUGCGGCUCAACCGUAAAAUUGCAGUUGAAACUGGCAGUCUUGAGUACAGUAGAGGUGGGCGGAAUUCGUGGUGUAGCGGUGAAAUGCUCAGAUAUCACGAAGAACUCCGAUUGCGAAGGCAGUUCACUGGACUGCAACUGACACUGAGGCUCGAAAGUGUGGGUAUCAAACAGGAUUAGAUACCCUUGUAGUC